CUGGCUUUAUUGCUUUCUUUGACACACACUUACUCACACCCACUGGUUUGUUAUAGAGAAGACAGAGUCAGAGAUUUCUCAGGGGUACCCAGGGAUGGGUCAAGAGGCAACAGAGAGAGGUUGCAGGAGGAGAAACGCACAAAGGAAAGAAAUUCAUGGAGAGGUCAUUCAAACAUUAGAAGAGGUUGCCAGGAGAGGCAGUGGAAUGGCCAUCCUUAGUGAUACUCCACACUUGGCUGGACAUGAACCUGAGGACCCUGAUCCAAGUUGGCCCUGCUUUGUGAAGAGUUUUCUCGUUUCACCCUGUCAGGGAGCCUUCCUCUAACCCCUGCCUGCAAGCGACUCCUUGCUCGAAAGAGGAUAAUGCCUCAGAAAUUGGCGGAUAGAGCUAACAAUGUUAAGGAAGAAAUGAGGAAGAGUGCCUAUAGAGAAGAGUCUCCUGUGAGGUGAGAGCCUUGGACAAUACCAUACUUGUACAUGGGCAGAGAUGUUUCCCUUGGACACAAUGUCUCCCUGAGCUCUGGAAGGUCUGAGCUUGAGAUGGCACCUAAAAGAGCAGGCUCCACAUCUACCAUCCUCCAUGCUACACCUGCCCAAGGGAGUCCCGCAAAGUGCCUCCUUACCCUAAAGAGGCUUCGUCUUCACAAGCAGUCACAAGUUCACGUACUGCCCACCCUCAAGGAAGAAGCAAGGGAGGCAGCCAACAGAGCAGUGCCUUCUGUCAGGUGAGACUCUUGGAGAAGUGGUGUGGGGUGGCCCUGUGUUUUUGUAUUGUGUGAGGGAGCUG
ensembl:lncRNA